GAUGAACGCUAGCGGCAGGCUUAACACAUGCAAGUCGAGGGGUAACAGGGAGUGCUUGCACUCUGCUGACGACCGGCGCACGGGUGCGUAACGCGUAUGCAACCUACCUUCUACAGGGGGAUAGUCCAGAGAAAUUUGGCAUAAUACCCCAUACGAUCAUUUAUUGGCAUCGAUAGAUGAGGAAAACUCCGGUGGUAGAAGAUGGGCAUGCGUCCUAUUAGUUAGUUGGUAAGGUAACGGCUUACCAAGACAUCGAUAGGUAGGGGUCCUGAGAGGGAGAUCCCCCACACUGGUACUGAGACACGGACCAG
rnacentral:rRNA from 1 species